UCAGUCGGCCGGGCGGCCGCACCGGCUAGGACCGAAAGGUUGCAGGUGAGGAAAGUCCGGGCUCCAGGGAAACACGGUGCCGGCUAACGGCCGGCGGGGGCGACCCCAGGGAAAGUGCCACAGAGAGUAAACCGCCCUUCCGCUAGUCGGAAUGGUAAGGGUGAAAGGGUGGAGUAAGAGCCCACCGCGCAACUGGUAACAGAAGCGGCAAGGUAAACCCCACCGGGAGCAAAACCGAAUAGGAACAACGCGAGGGGCAACCCUCAGGGUGGUUUCCGGCCCAGUUGUUCGGGUUGGUUGCGUGAGGCGGACGGCAACGUUCGCACAAGAUGAAUGGCCGCCACGUUCCUGCCUGUAAGGGCAGGGGCCAUACAGAACCCGGCUUACAGGCCGACUGACAAU
rnacentral:RNase_P_RNA from 1 species